UUUGAUCGAUCCCAGCCACAGCGGCCGGUCCGCGGCCCGGUCCUGCCCGUAGGUGGCCAGUAGGGCGCCGGCCUC
rnacentral:antisense_RNA from 1 species